ACUCCUACGGGAGGCAGCAGUGGGGAAUUUUGGACAAUGGGGGCAACCCUGAUCCAGCCAUGCCGCGUGCGGGAAGAAGGCCUUCGGGUUGUAAACCGCUUUUGGCAGGAACGAAACGGUGCGGGCGAAUACCCUGUGCUAAUGACGGUACCUGCAGAAUAAGCACCGGCUAACUACGUGCCAGCAGCCGCGGUAAUACGUAGGGUGCGAGCGUUAAUCGGAAUUACUGGGCGUAAAGCGUGCGCAGGCGGUUGUGCAAGACAGGUGUGAAAUCCCCGGGCUUAACCUGGGAACUGCAUUUGUGACUGCACGGCUAGAGUUUGUCAGAGGGGGGUGGAAUUCCACGUGUAGCAGUGAAAUGCGUAGAUAUGUGGAAGAACACCGAUGGCGAAGGCAGCCCCCUGGGAUGAGACUGACGCUCAUGCACGAAAGCGUGGGGAGCAAACAGGAUUAGAUACCCUGGUAGUCCACGCCCUAAACGAUGUCGACUAGUUGUCGGGGGGUAACACCCUUGGUAACGCAGCUAACGCGUGAAGU
rnacentral:rRNA from 1 species